rnacentral:lncRNA from 1 species
UCUUCGUCGUUCCAUUCAAACCAAGAUGAAUCACUUUGUGGGAAGCUUGAUUUGGAUACAUAAACUGGUGGAGAAUCACCAGGAAGUUGAAUAAAUCUCAUAGGAGUUGGCAAGAAGAAGUUAUUCCACUUUCAAAUUAGGUGAUUCCAGUUUCCCAGUUUCAGAAUAGGACAGCUUCUUCGUCGUUCCAAUCAAACCAGGAUGAAUCACUAUGUGAGAAGCUUGAUUUGGAUACAUAAAGUGGUGGAUAAUCACCAGGAAAAUGAAUAAAUCUCAUAGGAGUUGGAUGAAGAAGUUAUCCCACUUUCAAAUCAGGUGAUUCCAGUUUCCCAGUUUGGGACUAGCACAGCUUCUUCGUCGUUCCAAUCGAAACAGGAUGAAUCACUAUGUGAGAAGCUUGAUUUGGAUACAUAAAGUGGUGGAUAAUCACCAGGAAAAUGAAUAAAUCUCAUAGGAGUUGGAUGAAGAAGUUAUCCCAUAGUUGAAUAAAUCUUAUAGGAGUUGGCAAGAAGAAGUUAUCCCACUUUCAAAUCAGGUGAUUCCAGUUUCCCAAUUUGGGAAUAGCACGGCUUCAACGUCGUUCCAAUCAAACCAGGAUGAAUCACUUUUUGAGAAGCUUGAUUUGGAUACAAAAAGUGGUGGAGAAUCACCAGGUAGUUGAAUAAAUCUCAUAGGAGUUGGCAAGAAGAAGUUAUCCCACUUUCAAAUCAGGUAAUUCAGUUUCCCAGUUUGGGAAUAAGACAGCUUCUUCGUCGUUCCAAUCAAACCAGGAUGAAUCUCUUUGUGAGAAACAUGAUUUGGAUACAUAAAGUGGUGGAAAAUCACGAGGAAGUUGAAUAAAUCUCAUAGGAGUUGGCAAGAAGAAGUUAUCCCACUUUCAAAUCAGGUGAUUCCAGUUUCCCAGUUUGGGAAUAACCAGUUUGGGAAUAGGACAGCUUCUUCGUCGUUCCAAUAAAACCAGGAUUAAUCUCUUUGUGAGAAGCUUGAUUUGGAUAAAUAAAGUGGUUCCCAGUUUGGGAAUAGCACAGCUUCAUCGUCGUUCCAAUCGAACCAGGAUGAAUCACUUUGUGACAAGCUUGAUUUGGAUACAUAAAGUGGUGGAGAAUCACCAGGAAGUUGAAUUAAUCUCAUAGUAGUUGGCAAGAAGAAGUUAUCCCACUUUCGAAUCAGGUUAUUCCAGUUUUCCAGUUUGGGAAUAGGACAGCUUCUUCGUCGUUCCAAUAAAACCAGGAUUAAUCUCUUUGUGAGAAGCUUGAUUUGGAUAAAUAAAGUGGUUCCCAGUUUGGGAAUAGCACAGCUUCAUCGUCGUUCCAAUCGAACCAGGAUGAAUCACUUUGUGACAAGCUUGAUUUGGAUACAUAAAGUGGUGGAGAAUCACCAGGAAGUUGAAUAAAUCUCAUAGGAGUUGGCAAGAAGAAGUUAUCCCACUUUCAAAUCACGAUCAUCCAGUUUCCUAGUUUGGAAAUAGGACAGCUUCUUCGUCGUUCCAAUCAAACCAGGAUGAAUCUCUUUGUGAGAAGCUUGAUUUCGAUAUAUAAAGUGGCGGAGAAUCACCAGGAAGUUGAAUAAAUUUCAUAGGAGUUGGCAAGAAGAAGUUAUCCAAUUUUCAAAUCAGUUGAUUUCAGUUUCCCAGUUUGGGAAUAGGACAGCUUCUUCGUCGUUCCAUUCAAACCAAGAUGAAUCACUAGUUUCCCAGUUUGGGAAUUGGACAACUUCUUCGUCGUUCCAAUCACACCACGAUGAAUCACUUUGUAAGAAGCUUGAUUUGGAUACUUAAAAUGGUGGUCACACCACGAUGAAUCACUUUGUAAGAAGCUUGAUUUGGAUAUAUAAAGUGGUGUAGAAUCACAAGGAAGUUGAAUAAAUCUCAUAGGAGCUGGGAUGAAGAAAUUAUCCCACUUUCAAAUCAGGUGAUUCCAGUUUCCCAGUUUGGGAAUAGGAAAGCUUCUGCAUCGUUCCAAUCAAACCACGAUGAAUCACUUUGUAAGAGGCUUGAUUUGGAUACAUAAAGUGGUGUAGAAUCACCAGGAAGUUGAAUAAAUCUCAUAGGAGCUGGGAUGAAGAAGUUAUCCCACAUUCAAACCAGGUGAUUCCAGUUUUGCAGUUUGGGAAUAGGACAGCUUUUGUGUCGUUCCAAUCAAACCAGGAUGAAUGACUUUGUAAAAAGCUUUAUUUGGAUACAUAAAGUGGUCGAGAAUCACCAGGAAGUUGAAUAAAUCUCAUAGGAGCUGGGAUGAAGAAGUUAUCCCACUUUCAAAUCAGGUGAUUCCAGUUUCCCAGUAUGGGAAUAGGACAGCUUCUUCGUCGUUCCAAUCAAACCACAAUGAGUCACUUUGUAAGAAGCUUGAAUUGGAUACAUAAAAUGGUGUAGAAUCACCAGGAAGUUGAAUAAAUCUCAUAGGAGCUGGGAUGAAGAAGUUAUCCCACUUUCAAAUCAGGUGAUUCUAGUUUCGCAGUUUGGGAAUAGGACAGCUUUUAUGUCGUUCCAAUUUAAACCAGGAUGAAUCACUUUGUAAGAAGCUUCAUUUGUAUACAUAAAGUGGUGGAGAAUCACCGGGAAGUUGAAUAAAUCUCAUAACAGCUGGGAUGAAGAAGUUAUCCCACUUUCAAAUCAGGUGAUUCCAGUUUCCCAGUUUCGGAACAAGACAGCUUCUGCGUCGUUCCAAUCAAACCAGGAUGAAUCACUUUGUAAGAAGCUCGCCAAUUUGGGAAUAGGACAGCUUCUGCGUCGUUCCAAUCAAACCAGAAUGAAUCACUUUGUAAGAAGCUUGAUUUGGAUACAUAAAAAAAGUGGUGUAGAAUCACCAGGAAGUUGAAUAAAUCUCAUAGGAGCUGGGAUGAAGAAGUUAUCCCACUUUCAAAUCAGGUGAUUACAGUUUUCCAGUUUGGGAAUAGGACAGCUUCUUCAUCGUUUGGGAUGAAUGAGUUAUCCCACUUUCAAAUCAGGUGAUUCCAGUUUCCCAAUUUGGGAAUAAGACAGCUUCUGCGUCGUUCCAAUCAAACCAGAAUGAAUCACUUUGUAAGAAGCUUGAUUUGGAUACAUAAAGUGUUGGAGAAUCACCAGGAAGUUGAAUUAAUCUCAUAGGAGUUGGGAUGAAUGAGUUAUCCCACUUUCAAAUCAGGUGAUUCCAGUUUCUCAGUUGGGAACAAGACAGCUUUUGCGUCGUUCCAAUCAAACCAGGAUGAAUCACUUUGUAAGAAGCUCCAUUUGGAUACUUAAAAUGGUGGAGAAUCACCAGGAAGUUGAAUAAAUCUCAUAGGAGCUGGGAUGAAGAAGUUAUCCCAGUUUCAAAUCAGGUGAUUCCAGUUUCCCAGUUUGGGAAUAGGACAGCUUCUUCGUCGUUCCAAUCAAACCACGAUGAAUCACUUUGUAAGAAGCUUGAUUUAAAUACAUAAAGUGGUGGAGAAUCACCAGUAAAUUGAAUAAAUCUCCUAGGGGUUGGGAUGAAGAAGUUAUCCCACUUUCAAAUCAGGUGAUUCCAGUUUUGCAGUUUGGGAAUAGGACAGCUUCUACGUCGUUCCAAUUAAACCACGAUGAAUCACUUUGUAAGAAGAUUGAUUUGGAUACAUAAAGUGUUGUAGAAUCACCAGGAAGUUGAAUAAAUCUCAUAGGAGCUGGGAUGAAGAAGUUAUCCCACUUUCAAAUCAGGUGAUCCCAGUUUCCCAAUUUGGGAAUAGGACAGCUUCUGCGUCGUUCCAAUCAAACCAGAAUGAAUCACUUUGUAAGAAGCUUGAUUUGGAUACAUAAAAAAAGUGGUGUAGAAUCACCAGGAAGUUGAAUAAAUCUCAUAGGAGCUGGGAUGAAGAA